rnacentral:rRNA from 1 species
CGGUUACUUAAGCAGGAUGUGAAAUCCCCGGGCUCAACCUGGGAACUGCGUUCUGAACUGGGUGACUAGAGUGUGUCAGAGGGAGGUAGAAUUCCACGUGUAGCAGUGAAAUGCGUARAGAUGUGGAGGAAUACCGAUGGCGAAGGCAGCCUCCUGGGAUAACACUGACGUUCAUGCCCGAAAGCGUGGGUAGCAAACAGGAUUAGAUACCCUGGUAGUCCACGCCCUAAACGAUGUCGAUUAGCUGUUGGGCAGCUUGACUGCUUAGUAGCGAAGCUAACGCGUGAAAUCGACCGCCUGGGGAGUACGGUCGCAAGAUUAAAACUCAAAGGAAUUGACGGGGACCCGCACAAGCGGUGGAUGAUGUGGAUUAAUUCGAUGCAACGCGAAGAACCUUACCUGGUCUUGACAUGUACGGAACCCUCCAGAGACGGAGGGGUGCCUUCGGGAGCCGUAACACAGGUGCUGCAUGGCUGUCGUCAGCUCGUGUCGUGAG